AGAGUUUGAUCAUGGCUCAGGACGAACGCUGGCGGCGUGCCUAAUACAUGCAAGUAGAACGCUGACUACUUUAGCUUGCUAGAGUAGAAGGAGUUGCGAACGGGUGAGUAACGCGUAGGUAACCUGCCUACUAGCGGGGGAUAACUAUUGGAAACGAUAGCUAAUACCGCAUAACAGUGUUUAACACAUGUUAGAUGCUUGAAAGAUGCAAAUGCAUCACUAGUAGAUGGACCUGCGUUGUAUUAGCUAGUUGGUGGGGUAACGGCCUACCAAGGCGACGAUACAUAGCCGACCUGAGAGGGUGAUCGGCCACACUGGGACUGAGACACGGCCCAGACUCCUACGGGAGGCAGCAGUAGGGAAUCUUCGGCAAUGGGGGCAACCCUGACCGAGCAACGCCGCGUGAGUGAAGAAGGUUUUCGGAUCGUAAAGCUCUGUUGUAAGAGAAGAACGUGUGUGAGAGUGGAAAGUUCACACAGUGAGGGUAACUUACCAGAAAGGGACGGCUAACUACGUGCCAGCAGCCGCGGUAAUACGUAGGUCCCGAGCGUUGUCCGGAUUUAUUGGGCGUAAAGCGAGCGCAGGCGGUUUAAUAAGUCUGAAGUUAAAGGCAGUGGCUUAACCAUUGUUCGCUUUGGAAACUGUUAAACUUGAGUGCAGAAGGGGAGAGUGGAAUUCCAUGUGUAGCGGUGAAAUGCGUAGAUAUAUGGAGGAACACCGGUGGCGAAAGCGGCUCUCUGGUCUGUAACUGACGCUGAGGCUCGAAAGCGUGGGGAGCAAACAGGAUUAGAUACCCUGGUAGUCCACGCCGUAAACGAUGAGUGCUAGGUGUUAGGCCCUUUCCGGGGCUUAGUGCCGCAGCUCACGCAUUACACACUCCGCCUGGGGAGUA
rnacentral:rRNA from 1 species